rnacentral:lncRNA from 1 species
CAGCGAUAAAUCCAGUGCUGCUACAAUCCUGCCACGUAUACAUUGACUGAUAAGUCGCCGGAUGUCGCUGCCCAAAAAACAACAUAAAAUUACCGCCACGUCAACACCUGUACUCUUUCCGAGUCUCUUGUCGUCCACCGACCUCGAUAUCCUCCGACUCGGCCACCGAACUACAACCGCCCGCGUUCCCUCCCGAUGGAGAAACGCCGCCGUUGCGUUUGUCUCUGCUGAGCAUUCUCGUAAACGACAGCAUCCGACUCAUCGGUGACCUGAACGCCUGGCUCGCCGGCGAGUCGCCGCGGCCCGAGUCCUCCCCCCUCCCAAAACUCUGGUUCCUUCUCGGAACCACGAUGUCCAGCGGUUUUCUCCGCGAACCCGACGACGUAGUUUCGGAAUUACAACACUCGGAGCACAGCUCUGAACUCGGACCCGGUUCACCCCCUUCCAGUUCGCAAACAUUCAAAACCACGUCGGCGCGGGUUUCCGACUCCGGACCCGGUUCCACCGGGGCCCGACAAAGGGGGCACGUCGAGUGAGAGUGGAACCACAUGUCAAUACACUCGAUGUGGAAGCUGUGCUUACAUUUCGG